GUGAGCGAAGAACGGCCUUCGGGUCGUAAAGCUCUGUUGUAAGGGAAGAACAAGUGCCAUUUAACUGAUGGCACCUUGACGGUACCUUACGAGAAAGCCACGGCUAACUACCUGCCAGCAGCCGCGGUAAUACGUAGGUGGCAAGCGUUGUCCGGAUUUAUUGGGCGUAAAGCGCGCGCAGGCGGUCCUUUAAGUCUGAUGUGAAAGCCCACGGCUCAACCGUGGAGGGUCAUUGGAAACUGGGGGACUUGAGUGCAGAAGAGGAAAGUGGAAUUCCACGUGUAGCGGUGAAAUGCGUAAAGAUGUGGAAGAACACCAGUGGCGAAGGCGACUUUCUGGUCUGUAACUGACGCUGAGGCGCGAAAGCGUGGGGAGCAAACAGGAUUAAAUACCCUGGUAGUCCACGCCGUAAACGAUGAGUGCUAAGUGUUAGGGGGUUUCCGCCCCUUAGUGCUGCAGCUAACGCAUUAAGCACUCCGCCUGGGGAGUACGGCCGCAAGGCUGAAACUCAAAGGAAAUUGACGG
rnacentral:rRNA from 2 species